UACGUAGGGUGCAAGCGUUGUCCGGAAUUAUUGGGCGUAAAGAGCUCGUAGGCGGUUUGUCGCGUCUGCUGUGAAAACUCGAGGCUCAACCUCGAGACGUCGGUUGAAACCGUAUGGCUAGAGUCCGGAAGAGGAGAGUGGAAUUCCCGGUGUAGCGGUGAAAUGCGCAGAUAUCGGGAAGAACACCUAUGGCGAAGGCAGCUCUCUGGGACGGUACUGACGCUGAGACGCGAAAGCGUGGGGAGCGAACAGG
rnacentral:rRNA from 1 species